ACGAAAUAAAUUUUAUCGUUUCAUUUUUUACCCAACUCACUGAAGUAAACGAACGUGCGUUAUCUAUCCGCCACAGCUCUCUAGUUUAUACAAGAAUUCUUUUCCACGUUCUAUGCGUGCACAUGAUAAAUCAGAUUUCAUGUCUUUUAUAAAAGAGCAAUUCUAAAAUCCAACAUAUUGUCAACGAAUUCCACGUAAAACCUAUCUUUUCACUUAUACUCCGCCGCGUAGAGCCUUAAAUUUUAACCUUCGAGAAGUCUCCUCGAACGCGAAUCUCUCUUCCUUUAGAAGACACGAUUUUCCGAGCAAUUUCAUACAAAGGCGAA
rnacentral:lncRNA from 1 species